rnacentral:rRNA from 1 species
CUUCGUUUCCUCGGCGGGUCCGCCCGCCGAUUGGACAACAUUCAAACCCUUUGCAGUUGCAAUCAGCGUCUGAAAAAACAUAAUAGUUACAACUUUCAACAACGGAUCUCUUGGUUCUGGCAUCGAUGAAGAACGCAGCGAAAUGCGAUAAGUAGUGUGAAUUGCAGAAUUCAGUGAAUCAUCGAAUCUUUGAACGCACAUUGCGCCCCUUGGUAUUCCAUGGGGCAUGCCUGUUCGAGCGUCAUUUGUACCUUCAAGCUCUGCUUGGUGUUGGGUGUUUGUCUCGCCUCCGCGUGUAGACUCGCCUUAAAACAAUUGGCAGCCGGCGUAUUGAUUUCGGAGCGCAGUACAUCUCGCGCUUUGCACUCAUAACGACGACGUCCAAAAGUACAUUUUUACACUCUUGACCUCGGAUCAGGUAGGGAUACCCGCUGAACU